rnacentral:ncRNA from 1 species
AAAAAGACUUUUUUGAAAGUCACCUAAAGUAGAUUUAAAAAAAAA